AUUGUAAAUAUAACCAUGUCAGCAAAAGAUCAACAGUUUAAAGCAAGGACGGAAGACUGUGUUAGAUUUGUCUCGGGAAACUAUAAACCAACAAACAUAAGGGAAAUCUAGCCUGAAACGAGUUCGAAAAUAGUUCCCAUUUUUUUAAUUGUUAAACAUAGAUGCUCUAUUGCGCAAGAUACAAGGGUGAAAAUAACAAAAAAA